UACGAAGGGGGCAAGCGUUGUUCGGAAUGACUGGGCGUAAAGGGCGCGUAGGCGGUUCGUUGCGUCAGGAUGUGAAAGCCCCGGGCUCAACCUGGGAACUGCAUUUGAUACGGGCGAGCUUGAAUCCAAGAGAGGGUGGUGGAAUUCCCAGUGUAGAGGUGAAAUUCGUAGAUAUUGGGAAGAACACCAGUGGCGAAGGCGGCCACCUG
rnacentral:rRNA from 1 species